UCCGGGGCUCUUAGCCCAUGUAUCACCGAACGCGUGGGGACACUGGUCUCGGACUGGAUCACAGCCUCCUGGUCUGGGCUUUUCUUUCCCUGACAGUUGGCAACUCAGGUGGAAAAUGGAAAAGCCCCCGAUGCCCACCCUGGGGAGAGCAGCUUCCUAGCCGUGGACGGUGAUGCCGGCUGUUCACGCAGGCGGUGGUUCAAGACCAAGUGCCGACCUGCAGGAAGAGGCAUGCAGUCUCACUGUGUCACCUGCUGAGCGGAACCUCCCUCCUCCCCGGGGACCCGCGUGGAAGCCUGGCCUUGGGUCCCUCUGCCCUGGCCCCGGGCACACAGCUGCUCCCCUGUCGAAACUGCACAGGAAGCAAGCGAAGCAUGGGGCCAGAGACGCCCACGAGCGGCGGCUCUGCUGCAGGAGCUGGUCUUGGUUGGCACCAGUCGAGCUUCUCCUUCCCACCUUCUCCAAACAGACAGUCGGUCACUGCUGAGCAAAGCAGGAGAAGGAAGCUGACUGAUGGAUGCGCGCGUCUGUCUCCGCCGGAAACCCAGUCCUGCAAAGGCCACGACACCCGCUCUGCACGCUCAGCACCAAACGGUUUCCCCAGAAGAGGUACUGGCAUGCUGCUUUAAAAAGUACAACGGACGCGUUCCUGCCACGGCACGGUAGGUUGAGGAUCUGUCUGCAGCAGCUCAGGUCACUGCUGGGGCGUGGGUUCCAUCCCCACCCGGCGCAGUGGGUUCAGGGAUCCGCCGUUGCCGCAGCUGCAGCUCCUAUGCAUUCUGGGGCUGGGAACUUCCACUGUAGACACAAGUGUAUGUUUUAUCCUCUGUAAACCCCACAGGCAGCACUGGCGGAAUGACAGAGUUGACUUCAGGGUUGGUUGUCUGGGGACAGCUCUGCCUCCUCUGCGUCCACAGUUCUGUACGUGGACACUGCAGAAAUCGGGCCCGAGUUUAUAGCCGUCAUAAAAAUAUUGAGGCGUUCCUGCUGUGGUGCAGUGGAUUAAGAACCCAAAUGCAGCGGCUCUGGUUGCUGCAGAGGUGCAGGUUUGAUCUCCAACCCAGCACCAUGGGUUAGAGGACCCAGCUUUGCUGCAGCUGGCCCAGGAACUCCCAUACGCCUCAGGUGCGGCCAUAAAUCUUCAUUUACAUAAAUAUAUAUAUGUACACGUACAGACAUAUAUAGAGCAAGAUUCAUCUUUAUCUGGUUUUAGUAUAUGUUCCUACUGGGAGUCAGGAAGUUGCUUUGAUUUUUGCGCAGAUUCCAGAUUUAACCUUAGAAGCACUUGUAAGCCUGACUUUAAAUGUUCCAGGAGUUCCCAUUGUGGCUAAGCCAGUUAAGAACCUGCCUAGUAUCCAUGAAGAUGUGGGUUCGAUCCCUGGCCUCGCUCAGUGGAUUAAAGGAGCCAGCCUUGCUGCAAACUGUGGCAUAGGUCACAGACGGGGCUCAGACCUGAUGUUGCCGGGGCUGUGGCUCUGAUUUGACCCCUGGUCUGGGGACUUCCAUAUGCUGUAGGAGAAAAAAUAUUAAAAUAAAGGGAAUGGGGUGUUCCCGUCGUGGCUCGGUGGUUAACGAAUCCAACUAGGAACCAUGGGGUUGCAGGUUGGAUCCCUGGCCUCACUCAGUGGGUUAGGGAUCCGGCGUUGCCGUGAGCUGUGGUGUAGGUCGCAGACUUGGCUCGGAUCCCGCGUUGCUGUGGCUCUGGCGUAGGCUGGUGGCUACGGCUCCAAUUAGACCCGUAGCCUGGGAACCGCCAUAUGCCGCGGGAGCGGCCUUAGAAAGGGCAAAAAGACAAAAAUAAACAAACAAAUAAAUAAAUAAAUACAGUAAAGGGAAACGACGGACAUUCGGGACCUUGCCCUGCAGUGGCGUGUGCUGAGAAUUUGUUCGGUUUACAUGGUGUUUUCUACUUGAAACUGCUUUGAAACAUCGACAGAUGCCGCGGUAUCCUUCUGCCAGAAAGGCGUUUUUCAAAAGGAAGAGCCGAGGGCCCCGGGGAGUUCUCCCACCCCGCCCUGACCCCCAGACCUGAGCACGCCUGCCCUCUGUUCCCUCCUUUCCUGCUCUUUCACCACGAAAGGAGGAGGCGGCCGGUCCAGAAAGGGUGUAACGUGUUGUUUCACAUCUCCUCUCAUUACUCAUCAGCCCUCACAGAUCACCCCAAGGAUGGGUAUGGCAAAGACUUAAGGGAAAGGCAGAUUAUGGAAAGGCAGCGAUGGCCAGGGAAUUCCUAGGUGGCUCAAGACACACCUUGCGUGGCUGACUCAGCCUCAGCCUCAGCCGCAGACCUGCGGCCGACCGGGCUGGGGGUGCCCGCGCAAAAAAAACCCCGACUCUCUCCUCCUCGCCGUCCACCAGAAGCCCACACACAUUCCGACAAACAGGCACGAAUCUCAGAAAAUUUAACGUCACUGCACGAAAGAUGUACUAGAAAUCAAAUGUCCACAUCCAGCUGGCCGGCUCCAUUAUCAUGUCCCCGUGAAAAAGGUACCCAGAGCUGGUAUCCCCCGCAUCCAGGUGCAUGGUUGAAGGUGUCUGGCAGGAGGAACCAAGAUUUUUAACCAUUUCUACCUACUUAAAACCCAAUUCCUCCUCUAAUCAUUUAUUCUAAGUAAACAAUUAGAGACGGAUUUAGCUGAGGUACAAAAUAUCCUGUGCAAAAUGGUUUAUAACAGUCAGAAUAUCGACAGCAUGGUAAGUACCCCCCACAGGGGAAAUGCCCAAGUGCACUACGGCCACACAACAGAGCGCCAGCCGUUCCGACCUCAAACCCCCGGUCCCCCCGCCCUCCCCACGCUGCACCGUGAAGCCAGCCGUUAACCCUAGGGUCUGAGGUCACCCUGGCGGUGUCAAGGCCCAGCUCUGGAACAUCCUAACCCUUAGUUCCCGUAUGAAAAUAAUGAGGCUACCAGAGGAUUGAAAAAUCGUUAAUGAAAAGCGCUGAGACAUACGAUGCUUCAUAAAUGCUUCCAGCAACUUCGGUUACACAGAAGUCGCCAGGCACUUCCAGGGAUACCCACGCUGUGUUCCACACCCAGAAAGUCUAACGCAGGUGGUCUGGGGUGUAGACCAAACACCCAGACUGUCGCAGCUAAGCAGGUGGGUUCUNNNNNNNNNNNNNGGGAAAGAGGCUCAUGUUGGCCCAAGGUUCUUAAUCGUAGUGGCAAGCUGGUCAGCGAAUAACCAGGAGCAGGCACAGGCCCUCCCAGGAGGAAGGUCAUUGACCAGCCAGCUCACGGCAACCAGCUCUUCCCGAGGUCACUGUCCCCGCACAAAGCAGCACAGGUGCUGGUGCGGGAAGAGGCUGUGGCCUUGGGCUCCAGCCAGAGGUUAAAGGUCAGAGCUGCCGCAGCAGCUGGAAAUGAGAACCAUCCCAGGGAGGAGCAGGCGAGGGAUCACAGAUCAGUGCGGGGUCCCUGAGUCCUGAGCAGCUUAUGAUCUGAGCAGGAAGCGGCACCGUGGCGGAGCUGCUGGGCGUCUGCGUUCCUCGACCUGGCUCAGCAAACCCUGCAGGCGGCUCCUGAAAAACUGGACCGGCCACAGCUCUGGCUGGCGGCCGGGCCCGAGAAGACAGGUCCACACAGUGCUGAGGACCCGGCAGUGACUGCAACGCCUCCUGGAGCAAACGCGGCACGUUCCAGGCCAAGAUGGGACGAGUCGUCUCUGCACGUCUCAGGCACGAUCCCCUGAACAGACAAGCAAGAACUGGACAACGCGACCGAUAAUCAGGAUAAUGGACCUAGACGUAUAGAAAACUUACAUUUUGAAGGUAGCAGAUGAGCCGUUUAAACAGCCACGCUACGUACCUGAAAGGAUUCGCCAGCCAAGUGUCAAGAAGGCCGCGAAGUGGGGGGUGAUGCUGGCCGCGAAGUGGAAACUUCAGAAAGAAAACAAAUGGAGACCCUCGUGUUGAAAAAACCCUGGACCCAAAUGAAAAAUGCGCUCGACAGGCCUCCCGAAAGAUGGGCUGCAGAGGAGGGCUUCACCGCCUUGAAAACAGGACAAGAGAAAUGACCCAUUUUCGGAACCACAAAGAGGAAAAGUCCUGCGGAAGAACAGCAAGUGGUCGGUCUCCGGACCUGAGCCGGAGCCCAGGGGACGGACAGAGGGAAGGGGCAGCUGUUCAGAGAGACCACGGCCACUUCCCCUCAAAUGGCGAGGGCAGGAGUUCCUGCCGUGCCUCAGUGGUUAACGAAUCCGACUAGGAACCAUGAGGUUGCGGGUUCGAGCCCUGGCCUUGCUCAGUGGGUUAAGGAUCCGGCGUUGCUGUGAGCUGUGGUGUAGGUCGCAGACGUGGCUUGGAUCCGACGUUGCUGUGGCUGUGGUGUAGACCAGCAGCUACAGCUCUGACUCAACCCCUAGCCUGGGAACCUCCAUAUGCCGCGGGUGUGGCCUUAAAAAGCAAACGAAAAACAAACAAACAAACCGAAAAAACUGCUAGGACACACACAGAGCCAAGUAGCUCAGCAACCCUGUCAUGUUAUAGACAAAGGACAGAUCUUAGUCAAACUUUUUGAAAAAUGAGAAUGAGGAGAAAAGUCUGAAAAAAUACUAAUAAGAAAAAAGGAGGGAGUUCUUUGGUGGCUCAGCAGGUUAAAGGUCCCAUGUUGAGGAAUCCCCGUCAUGGCGCAGUGGUUAACGCAUCCGACUGGGAACCAUGAGGUUGAGGGUUCGAUCCCCGGCCUUGCUCAGUGGGUUGGGGAUCCUGCGUUGCCGUGAGCUGUGGUGUAGGUCGCAGACGCGGCUGGGAUCCUGCGUAGCUGUGGCUCUGGCGUAGGCCAGCGGCUACAGCUCUGAUUAGACCCCUGGCCUGGGAUAUGCCGCGAGGAGCAGCCCUAGGAAAGGCAAAAAGACAAAAAAAAAAAAAAAAAAAAAGGUCCUAUGUUGUCACUGCUAUGACAAGGGUUUAAUCCCUGGCCCAGGAACUUCCACAUGCUGCAGGUGUGACCAAAAAAAAAAAAAAAAAAAAAAAAAUAAAGUGGAUUAAAAAA
rnacentral:lncRNA from 1 species